UACGAAGGGGGCUAGCGUUGCUCGGAAUCACUGGGCGUAAAGCGCACGUAGGCGGAUUGUUAAGUCAGGGGUGAAAUCCUGGAGCUCAACUCCAGAACUGCCUUUGAUACUGGCGAUCUCGAGUCCGGGAGAGGUGAGUGGAACUGCGAGUGUAGAGGUGAAAUUCGUAGAUAUUCGCAAGAACACCAGUGGCGAAGGCGGCUCACUGGCCCGGUACUGACGCUGAGACGCGAAAGCGUGGGGAGCGAACAGG
rnacentral:rRNA from 1 species